ACUGCCUCCUUGGGAGCAUUGGGAGCGAGUUCUGCCCUUUGGAAUGGGGUCCAUCAGCAGAAGGAGCAGCAACUGCACCUGGAGACUGCUUCCUUUAGAGUGUGGGGUGAACCCUUGAAACUGGGGCUGUGGCCUUUCCUGUUUUUGGGGCAUCCUGACCACACUGAAGUGCUGGCAGAUGUAAGGGCAGCAUUGAUCUCUGGAGACUGUCUCCUGUGGAGCAGGGGGCUGUUAUGCACUGCUUCCAACCAUGCAGAGUUGUUUAAGGG